rfam:Triticum aestivum genome assembly, contig: Triticum_aestivum_CS42_TGACv1_scaffold_577431_7BL
UUUAUACUCCCUCCGUUCGGAAUUGAUUAUCGCCGAAAUGGAUGUAUCUAGACAUAUUUUAGUUUUAGAUACAUCCAUUUUCAAGACAAGUAAUUCCGAACGGAUGGAGUACAUG